UACCAGCACCCCGAGUGGUCGGGACGAUUAUUGGGCCUAAAGCAUCCGUAGCCGGCCUUACAAGUCCUCCGUUAAAUCCAGCUGCUUAACAGAUGGGCUGCGGAGGAUACUAUAAGACUAGGAGGCAGGAGAGGCAAGCGGUACUCAGUGGGUAGGGGUAAAAUCCAACGAUAUAAAGAUGAACACCAAUAACGGCGAAGGCAGUUAACUAUUCUGUUCCUGACAUUGAGGCACGAAAGCGUGGGGAGCAAAACGG
rnacentral:rRNA from 1 species